UUCACCUCCGGAGCAAGCAUAUGGUUGUGGUGACCAGGAAGAAAGUCACAUGCUCAGCUGCACAAAAAAGGAAUGCAUUUAUCCCAUUCUUCAAAAUCGGAUCCUGCUUACGUCAUUUAAGACUUCCUAUUUGACUUAGGGUGCAUGGGUUUUCAGUAAACACUGAUUGAUUGAAGGAAUGAAUCCAGAACUCCUAGAAGAACAUAGACCAGACUGGGCCAAGUCUGGGUGCCCCGAUCCCUAACCUCUCCAGGUUGGCAAUAUACGCCUCCAGGGAAAAAAACAAAAACCAGGCAGGAGAGAGAGACACAGUGGGAGAAGGAACACAAGCAGGGGGAGCAGGAGAGGUAGAAAUAGGCUUCUGCCGAGCAGGGAGCCCAUGGACUUCUGCACCAAAUCAGUCCUCCAAGGAACGGCCAGGCGGACUCAAGGAGCUGUCCAUUUGCCAUCGAGCCUCUUCAGGGGACACUUGGCUGUUUCCAAGCUGCUGAUACCCUGGGCCUUUCAGCACAGGCCAGUUUGGUGGGCGUGUGGGAGAAGGUCCGCGGAGAAAUGCGGCUGAGCUACCUCUAUGUGCACCUGCAGUCUUGCCUUCCGGGUCCUGCUGUGCACUGGGAGGCCUCCAGUUUAGAAAUGGGCUUGAGGAAUCAGAGUUCUCGAUGGGAGGGCUGCGGGGAAGACAAGGGCAGGCCAGCCUGAGGAGCUGCGGUGGUCAGCACGAGCUCUGGAAUCUCAGGGGGAUGCCGCCGGGUCCAGUAGCCCAGGGUGAGACUCCGGAACCACCAGGCUUCUGUGUGGCGCUGGGCGGGGCCCAGAAGAGAGGUUGUUCCUCUGGACUCUCUUCCCCAUAUCACAAGCUCCCAGGCCCCAGCGAGUGCAUCUGCUAAAAUUUCCUUCAUCAAACAGCUUUGCACCUCGCUGUGGUGGGCUCUGUGGUGCUGAGACCCAACCUUCCUUGGGGGAGCUCUUGUCAGAACGACUUGCAUCUAGCUCCAGCCCAGAUCUCUCUUUGGAGCCCUAGACCCUGCUGAGCUGCUCCCCUGACCCAGGGCAGUGGCUGGACACCAUCGCCCCAGCUGAAAAUGCCUCUUCCCUGUCCCCCACCACCCUCUCCCUCAGUCCCUAGACUCUAGACAUAAUGUACCCCCACCCUGCCCAGACUCUAGAGCAUUCUAAGCUCAGCCUUCCAUCUGUCUCUGCAACACACUAUAGUUGCUGUUCUUACUUCUCUUUUUCUCAUUAUUUCAGAAAGAUGAAAAUCCCACCUUCCCUCUUCUGGGGAGCAGUCUUCAGCCAAGCUCUGGAAAUCUGUCUCCGUGGAGGGAGUUUCCAUCCCCAGCAAGGGAAGCGGUUUGUCAGAAGGACCUGGAGGUUAAUUGCUAGGGCAGGCGACAGCCGUAACUGGAGGGGUCAGAAUAGAAAAUCUAGAAGUAUCUUCAGUCUUAUUUGUAAGACUGCCUUCAGUGCGGUGAGGGAGGCAGAGGCUAUGCCUAAUUUAGUAGGAGAACUUGGGCAAGUCCACUCCCUGUUCUGAGCCUCAAUUUUCCCAUCUCCAAAAUGGGAAUGAUGAAUCUCCCUUCGCAGGGUAUUGAGGACCAAAUGACCCAACCAUUGCGAAAGCUUUAACACAGACCUGGCACAUGGGAGAUGUUUCAUACAUGCCAGCUCUCUUUCCCUCUCCCACAGGACAGCUGUCCCCUCCAGGUGUCCCCAAAGCAUGUACUCACCCCAGGGCAGUCAGGACUGAGGAGGAGGUGGGGGCACCAUCCACAGACCUGGCAGGGACUAUAGAAGUGGGGGUUAAGCAAAUUGCCCAGUGCAGUGGCCCUCAUGCUCGCCUCCUGAUUAGCUCGAGUUAAUGAACAGCAUGAUUUCUGACUCGCUGCUUCUCAAGGGUGCCCUUGCUGUUUGCCUUCCUCCCAUCUGGGACCCACAGCUGCACCCCCAUUCCACCAACUGCACAGUCCUCAGCUGCACGGUGGGCCUGGACAUUGGCCAUGCAUGGGGGAUCGGCUCUCUCAGUCCCCUGGGCCCUCAGUUCUGCCCCAGGCUGGUUCCUAAACAGGCAGGGCCAGGGGGGAGUCCCAGCCAGUGCUGAGGAACUCAGUGUAGAAGGCUCUGAGCUAGUUUCUGCACUACACACUUUUUUUUUUUUAAACAGAUGAUAGACUUGGCAUAGACCAUGUAGGGUAUUGUCUGUGGAGUCCAGGCUAGAGGCUGAGGCCUCCCCAGGGCAGGGGCUUCUCAUGUCCCCUCACCUUCUUCCUUCCGUGGGCCCCUCCACAGCAGACACACAGCGGAGGCAGGGCCUUCUCUUGGUCUGAGCAAACCUCUAGGGUACUGGCUAGGCUUGCAGGGCCCUGUUCUCAGAAAAUGGGUUCAUGGGAGAGGCUUCCUGAAACUUCCAGCUCCAUCUCUCUCUCUCUCUGUCUGCGAGGUGGGCAGAGACUGAAAUGAGAAGGGUCCACGGUGUUGCUCAGCCCCAGAGCCAGGCCGCCCUACAGUGAGCCUUCGUGGCCCCAGUGGCGCUCCCUCCCUUCUCCACUCCACCAGGGCCACCUCCCACGCCUGCCACCAUGACCCCGGACUGGGGCAGGAGGAGAAGAUUCACACUGAGUGCAUAGCUAUAGCCGUGAUGGAAGUAGAGAACAAGGCCACAGUCUCCGGAAAAUUCAAGACCCUCUCCCCCAACUGCACAUUCUCCUGAGACAGAGGGGAGGAUGGGCUGGACCCAGCAUCCUUGUCGGGGAUGAUGUCAAGUGUGUCCCAUGGCAAGCACGGAUCCCAGUGCUUCGGGGCUCAGGGUGCCCACAAGCCAGCCCCAUCCCUGAACGGCCCACAGGGCCCAGAAGGCGGAAUGUGGGAGGAGUCCAGUCACCUUCACCAACACUCCUUGACUGUGGGAGGUGGGAGUGGGGUGGAAUUUGGGGAGAGCAAGGGUGGAAAAGACCCAAUACAGAGACACAAGAAAUCAGGCUCUUUAGGGUGAAAUUCACCAGGAAGUCCUUCUGGAACUUCUCUCCCCUAGUAGUACAAGCUGUACCAGCAUCUGAAAACUUCCCUUCAAAACCCACUGUGGUGCAGCCUGGAAAGCCAGCACACUGCGGAGCGACACUAACUGCCAACACUCAGCCAGCCAGGGAGUCGGGGCCCCAAGAGUGGGAUCAUGGCAGUACUCGCAUGUUUAUUUUAUUUCCUGUCAUAUAACCUACAAUUUACCUUGUCUCUUGUGUUUCAAGAGACAACAUAAAUAUUACAUUAAGAAAUUAGGCUGUUUGUGUUCGAAUCUUCAUGAAUAAGGUUUGUUAGGUUGUUUGUGGUAGCAUAUAUUGUUUGACUGUAAAAUACACAUUAUGUAAAAUUUACCUUAUUAACCACUUUAAAUGUACAGUUCAGCAGUGUUAAGUAUAUCCACAUUGCUAUAUGAUCGAUCUCCGUAUUUUUUUCAUUUUACAAAACUGAAACUCCAUACCCAUUCAACACAACUCCCCAUUUCCCCCUCUACCCAGCCCAUGGCUACAUUUUUUUUUUAAUUGAGGAAUACUCUAUAUACAGUGAGAUGCAUAGAUCUUAAGGGUAAAAUCUGACAAAUUUUGACAGAUGCAUACACCUGUGUAAGUGUAUCUCCAAUCAAGUUACAACACCUUCCCAUCCCCAAUGAAGUUGCUGUAUUUCCCUUUUUUUAUUUUUCAUCUUAACUAGAAUUAUAGUCACCAUGUGAUGAUGAUUUCCAGAAUAUUAGAUCCCCAGAACUUUUUUGUCUGUCUCCCCAUCCCAAGGCAACCAAUGUCCUGAUUUCUAUUAUCAUGGAUUGGUUUUGCCUCUUCUAGAUCUUCAUAAAAAUGGAAUCAUCCCAUUGGUACUCCCUUCCUGCUUCUCUUUCUUUCAACAUGAUACUGAAAUUUAGCCAUGUACCAUCUAUUAAUAGUAUAUUGAUUUCCAUUGCUGAGUAGUAUUUCAUUAUAUGAAGAUAACAGAGUUUUUUUUUUAAUUUUAUUUAGUUACUUGACAGAGAGAGAGAGAGAGAGAGAGAUCACAAGCUGGCAGUGUAGCAGGCAGAGAGAGAGGGAGAAGCAGGCUCCCUGAUGAGCAAAGAGCCUGUCAUGGGGCUCGAUCCCAAGACCCCGGGAUCAUGACCUGAGUCGAAGGCAAUCGCUGAACCGACUGAGCCACCCAGGCUCCCCGACAACAUAGUUUUUUAUGUACCCGCCUAUAGAUGGACAUUUGGGUUGUUUCUAGUUUUCUUGCUAUUAUCGAUAAAACUACUGUGAUGAUUGGACUUUUGGAUGAUUAUUCUUGUGGAUAUGUGUUUUCAUGAUUCUUAGAUAAGUACUUAGGAAUGGAGUUGGUAUAUCAUAAGGUAGGGUAUAUUUCACUUUAUAAGAAACUGCUAAACAGUUUUCCAAUAUGGUUGCACCAUUUUAAGCUUCCGCCAACAAAGUAUGAGUUCCAGUUGCUCCACAUCCUCACCAGCAUUUGGUAUUGUUGCUCUUUUUAAGUUUAACCUUCUAGUGGGUGUGAAAUGUUAUUGCACAAUUCCUAACACAAAGAUGUUGAGCAAUUUUCAUUUGGUUGCUGGCCACUUGUAAUCUUUCGUGACAUGUCUGGUCAAGUCUUUUGCUUGCUUGCAUUUAUUAUUUAUUUAUUGUCUUUUUGUUAUUGAUUUGUUGGUAUUCUUUAUAUAUUCUAGAUACCAGAACUUUGUCAGAUACAUAUUUUGCA